AAUAAACACAAGUAAAAUUUAUUAUUUAAAGUUAAAAUUUGAUAAAGUAAUAUAUAAAUAAAUUUUUUAGGUUAAAUUUUAAAUUUAAAAAAUUAUUACAAGUAUUAAUUUUAAGCUUAAAAAUUUUAUAAAUAAACUAGGAUUAGAUACCCUAUUAUAAAAAAUGUAAUUUUAAAAAAAUAGAGUAGUAAUAGUUAUGUUCUUAAAACUUAAUAAAUUUGGCGGUAUUUUAAUCUAAUCAGAGGAACUUGUUUUAUAAUUGAUAAUCCUCACUAUAUCUUACUUAAUUUAUUAGUUUGUAUACCAUCGUCAUAAGAAUCUCUUUAAAAAGAAAAAAUUUUCUAAAAAAUUUAUUAAUUAAAAUGUCAGAUCAAGGUGCAGCUUAUAAUUAAGAAAAAAUGAGUUACAAUAAAAUUAUUUAUAUGAAUUUAAAAAUGAAAUAUUUUUAAUGAAAUUGGAUUUGAUAGUAAAAUAAAUUAGAGAGUUUAUUUGAUUUUAGUUCUAAAAUAUGCACAUAUCGCCCGUCGCUCUCGUUAUUUAAAAUGAG
rnacentral:rRNA from 1 species